AAUAAAAUAAUAUAAAUUGAUUUUUUAAAUAUAUUAAAUUUAUAAAGUAAAAUUAUAAAAGUUAUCAUUGAAUGGAUUUUAAUAUGAAUAAAAUAUAUUUUUCAAUAUUAAUUUUAAAUUUAGUAAUGAAUAGUUUUUUUUAUUUAAAAAUUAUAAUUUAAUUAUCACAAAUUAAUAAACUUUUAAAUUUUUAGAAUUUUUUAAUAUUUAUAUAUUUAAAUUAUCAUUUUUUAA
rnacentral:tRNA from 1 species